rnacentral:lncRNA from 1 species
AAAGAAUAGAUUUGUGGCCUCCCUUUGUGUGCGGUCAGUGCCUUGAGAAGAGUGAACUGUGCUGCCACCUCCGGAGCCGUGGAGAGCGCGGGGCUUGGGUAGCAGCUAGGACGAUACAAGUUGGGACAAGGCCAGGUGCAAUGGCUCACGCCUGUAAUUCCAACACUUUGGGAGACCGAGGCAGGGGGAUCACCUGAGGUCAGGAGUUCAAGACCAGCCUGGCCAACAUGGUGAAACCCCAUCUCUAAUAAAACAGAAAAAUUAACUGGACGGGGUGGUGGACGCCUCCUCCCAAGUAGCUGGGACUACAGGUACCCGCCACCACGCCCGGCUAAUUUUUUUGUAUUUUUAGUAGAGACGGGGUUUCACCGUGUUAGCCAGGAUGGUCUCAAUUUCCUGACCUCAUGAUCCACCUGCCUCGGCCUCCCAAAGUGCUGGGAUUACAGGCG